UACGUAGGGUGCAAGCGUUUGUCCGGAAUUAUUGGGCGUAAAGAGCUCGUAGGCGGUUUGUCGCGUCUGGUGUGAAAAUCCAGGGCUUAACCCUGGACCUGCAUCGGGUACGGGCAGACUAGAGUGCGGUAGGGGAGAUCGGAAUUCCUGGUGUAGCGGUGAAAUGCGCAGAUAUCAGGAGGAACACCGGUGGCGAAGGCGGAUCUCUGGGCCGUAACUGACGCUGAGGAGCGAAAGCAUGGGGAGCGAACAGG
rnacentral:rRNA from 1 species